rnacentral:rRNA from 1 species
UUGCUUCGCUGGAUCAGUGCGAACGGNGAGUAACACGUGGGCAACCUGCCCCAGACUUCGGGAUAACUCUUCGAAAGAGGCGCUAAUACCGGAUAUGAACUCUGCAGGCAUCUGCGGAGUUGGAAAGGUUUUUUUCGGACUGGGAUGGGCCCGCGGCCUAUCAGCUAGUUGGUGAGGUAGUGGCUCACCAAGGCGACGACGGGUAGCCGGCCUGAGAGGGCGACCGGCCACACUGGGACUGAGACACGGCCCAGACUCCUACGGGAGGCAGCAGUGGGGAAUAGUUGCGCAAUGGGCGAAAGCCUGACGCAGCAACGCCGCGUGCGGGAUGAAGGCCUUCGGGUUGUAAACCGCUUUCAGCAGGGAAGAAGCGAAAGUGACGGUACCUGCAGAAGAAGCACCGGCUAACUACGUG